UCGGGAAUUUUGGGCAAUGGGCGAAAGCCUGACCCAGCAACGCCGCGUGAGUGAAGAAGGCCUUCGGGUUGUAAAGCUCUUUUGUCAGGGAAGAAACGGUAGUAGCGAAUAACUAUUACUAAUGACGGUACCUGAAGAAUAAGCACCGGCUAACUACGUGCCAGCAGCCGCGGUAAUACGUAGGGUGCAAGCGUUAAUCGGAAUUACUGGGCGUAAAGCGUGCGCAGGCGGUUGUGUAAGUCAGAUGUGAAAUCCCCGGGCUCAACCUGGGAAUUGCAUUUGAGACUGCACGGCUAGAGUGUGUCAGAGGGGGGUAGAAUUCCACGUGUAGCAGUGAAAUGCGUAGAUAUGUGGAGGAAUACCGAUGGCGAAGGCAGCCCCCUGGGAUAACACUGACGCUCAUGCACGAAAGCGUGGGGAGCAAACAGGAUUAGAUACCCUUGUAGUCCCUGAGCGGGCUGGCAAGGCGCAU
rnacentral:rRNA from 1 species